GCUAGCCUUUGGUCUGCUUUUCAGUAUCAAAUGUAUGUUAAGCUGGAUUCAUGUUUUUGUUUUUAUAUGCUAGUAAGUUUUAAGAUGUUUUUAUGUUUUAAAAAACGAAUUAAAUCUGUUUUAGUCAUCAAUGCAGCCAUUCAACGUGACCACGUGGUCGUAGAACACUUAACAUUAUGAGAUUCUAAUGUGAAGUCUUUGUAUUCUAUGGUUAACUUGUUUUUAGAUACGUUUUCAACUCUUUAGACAAACUAUCUUCUAACCCGUCGUAUGCUCUACAAUUUUUUUUCCAGAUUGCCAAAGAUCCCAUGACUCUUCGCUUUUGACUCGAGAGUGAAGAUGUUGGUGAGAUCUGGGCGUGUUCAAUGUUGAGCACAUGCAUCACAAUCUUUGAUCAAUUUAUCGAUUACGUUUGUUCUUGUAACGUUUAUGGUUUAUUUAAAGUUGUUUUGUAAGUGUAGAAUUUGAUAUUGAAAUUCUUUUCGCUUUAUGUAUCUCUUCCAACGUGCAUUCAUAUUCCCUUUAUUAAAGCCACGUGAUUUGUCUUGA